CAUGCAAUGAAGUUAGCCGCC
rnacentral:siRNA from 1 species